ensembl:misc_RNA Metazoa_SRP Metazoan signal recognition particle RNA
GCCAGGUGCUGUGAUGUGCACCUGUAGUCCUAGCUACUUGGGAGGCUGAGGCAGGAGAAUUGCUUGAGCCUGGGGGUUCGAGGCUGCAGUGAGGUGUGAUCAUGCCACUGCUGCACUCUAGCCUGGGUGACAGAGUGAAACCCUGUCUCAC